UACAGUGGACGGAAAGUGAACGCCUUCGAUCGGGGGAAGCCGGUGCGAGCCCGGCGCUGACCCGCAACCGUGAUCGGGCCGUUGCACCGGCGCGCGAGACCGCGCGUCGACGGCGACAGCCCGGAGCCGGAGUACCUGGUCGCAGGCAAGGCUCGCAA
rnacentral:ncRNA from 18 species